UACAGCUGCAGGAGUCUCAGCAGGACCCAUCAUGGUGGGAGAAGGGAAACGCACUGCACCACCCUGAAUGAACUGUCCUGCAGGAAUCUGUUCAAAAAAACGUCUGUCUACAGAGACCAAAGACUUAAGACAUCAUACUUUGUAUCUUGUCUUUCUUGAGUCUCUUUUCCUCUGUCAUUGAUGAGUGAAUAAACUCAGUCACUUGUUUAGAGUUAAGAGCACAGCACAGGUAUUUGCCUUUUUUUAAAACCUGUUUAUGCAUUUUUACAGUCUUAUCCUAGGAAGAGACCAGCAUUUCAUAUGUCUGGAGAAGAUGUUCCCUCAAUAAAGAGCUGAGUGUUCAUACCUUUA